GAUGUGGCUGUGACUGACAUCUGUCACUCCAGUAAUCACCAGGGUUCAUUCAGCUGAUCUAGUCAGGGAGGUGCCCCCUUCUU
ensembl:misc_RNA predicted gene, 24930